rnacentral:lncRNA from 9 species
AGAGAACAGCAGAAGGAGAUCAGCUUGGAGUGUGGGUAUGCCUUUAAAUAAAUGCCCAUCAGAAGUCUGAAUGAAGUCCUGAGGGAAUCCAAGGUACCAACCCUCAGAUUGGUUCACCACAAACUGUAUCUGCCCAUGAAGCACAUGGGGUCGAAUCAGAGCUGCAGCUGCAGGCCAACACCACAGCCACAGCAAUGCCAUAUUGAAGCCACAUCUGUGAUCUGCAUCACAUCUUGCAGAAUGCUGGAUCCUUAACCCACUGAGUGAGGCCAGAGAUCAAACCUGCAUCCUCAUGGACACUAUGUCAGGUUCUUAACCUGCUAAGCCAUAAGGCGAACUCCAUACACUUUUAAUUUAAACAGCACUCUUGAAGACAUUUGUAUUCAUUAUAUACAAUCCUAUAGAAGAGUCAUGCAGAAAUUUUCAUCCACAAUUUCAGGAAGAAAAAAAUGGGGGGGCUGUUUUCUUCACACUUAAAACAAACAAACAAACAAACAAACAAACAAACAAACCCCCCCCUAUAUUGUGAAUGGUUCUGUGAGCAGAAGAGGAGAGAAUUUUUAGCCCAGUAUAUGAGAAAAUGCUAAAGGUCAUUCUUCAAGUACUAAUCAAGUUGUCUUUGAUCAUCCUGGGAGUGCUCUGUUUUUAAUAUACCUGUAGCAUUUUUUAUUGAUUGCCUUCAUUCUCAAUGCAUUGAAUUUUAUUAUUUGCUUUUUUAGGGAUAUGUGACUUAUUUAAAAUCCAAAUUGUUGGAGUGCCCAUAUAAUGAUUUUGACAGAGACUCUCAAAAAGUAUUUGUCAGCUCUUAUUAUUUCUUUAAUGUAGUCUCAUAAAUUUACCACUCAAAUGUUCUGUUCAAAUGGGGAAUUUCAUAUAUUAACUUUUUUUUUUUUUUUUUUUUUUGCCUUUUCAGGGCCACACCUGCGUCAUAUGGAAGUUUCCAGGCUAGGAGUGUAAUCAAAGAUACAGCUGCCAGUCUACACCACAGCCACAGCAACACAGGAUCAGAGUCAUGUCUGCAACCUACACCAUAGCUCCCAGCAAUGCCAAAUCCUUAACCCACUGAGUGAGGCCAGGGAUUGAACUUGCAUCCUCAUGGUUACUAGUUGGAUCGGUUACCACUGAGCCACAAAGGGAAUUCCAAUAUAUCAACAAUUUUUAAAGUUGCAAUACCAGAUGAGCAUGAAAUACCCUUAUAUUAACAGUGCAAUAGGGCUGUAAUCACUAGAUUAUACAGGAUCCUUAUACACAACCUGGUAAAAUUAUAGUAAUUUCUCCUGCAAAAUCCACUGAUAAUUAAAUUAAUUCCAAGAAUAACAAUGACUAAAGGUCAUUUUUCCUGGAUAACAGAGAAUCUAUAAGAGUCUAUAAGAGUCUUUAUUGUAGCAUUCUUUUGGAACAGUAAAACAAAAAAAUGCAUAAAAUAUAUGAAUAAAAAAAAGGCUUGCAAUCAAAAGAAAACCACACAAACAUAUAUACACAUGCAUUAAAAUAGGGGAUAGAUACAUAACUUAAGUCUAAACAUAAAUAAUGAAACACCAGGCAAGCAACUGAAAUAUGCAUAGCUUGAUCCCAUUUCAAUUUUAAAAGCUGCAGUAUACACAUUAGACAAAUAAACUUUGGAAAUGUAUACACAGAACACUUAUUGAUCUUUUUUUCUGGAGUCAGGGUUACAGGAUGCUGUCAUUUUUGAAAUUAUGGUCUUCAAUAUGGAUUUUGUUUUAGUAGAUGUCUUAGUUUGACAGGGCUGCCAUAACAAAGUACCACAUAUUGGCUGGUUUAACAAUAGAACAAUUAUGAAGGCUACAAGUCUAAGAUCAAGGCGUCUGCAGGGUCGGUUUCAUCCUAGGCCUCUUUCCUAGGCUUGUAGAUAGCUGUCUUUUCCAUUUGUCCCAACAAGACUUUCCCUCUGUGUGUGUCUGUUUCCUAAUUUCCUCUCUUUAUGAGGACACCAGUCAUAUCAGAUGAAAGCAUAUAGUAAUAACCUCACUUUAACUUAGUUACCCUUUACAGAUCCUUAUCCAAAUACACUCACAUUUUGAGGUUCUGAGGGUUAGGACUUAAACAUAUGAAUUUUGGAGCAACAAUUUUCAGUCCAUAACAGUACAUAAUACUAUAGUGAUUAAAUAAAAAUGUGUCAUUAUGAUAUGGUAUGCAUUGUUUCCUCUCAUUUAAAGAACCCCAUUUUCCUUAGAGAUGUCCCAGUAUUGAACUAUAAAACUGAGUUUCCUAAAUUUCUUAGCACAUUUCUGGACAAUGGAUUUUAAGUGAAAUUGUUGAGAAGGACUACUGUGACAGCUGGUUAUUGUCUGAGUAUGAUGGUGUGCUUCCUUUGGCAUUUCCUCUUCUCCUCCCUCUGAGUUGUGGAUGUGACAGGUGGAUUUCUAGCAUCUAUCCUAAAGAAUAAAGGGUUGCAAGAUAGAAGUAGGACACUUUGUUAUACUGUGGAGCCAGUUGGCUUGUAGAUUUAUUUUAUGUGUGGAGAAAAAAAAAUCUUAUACAUAAGCCAUUAUUAUUUGGGUUUUCUGUUAGAUGCACUGAAACACAUUCUUUAAUAAGGAGAAUUUAAGGAAGAACACCUUAAAAAUGGUCAGUUGUUUUCUGAUAUCUGAGAUAACCCCCUUGAUGAUAUUACAAUCAAGAUUAAUAGUAGAAAUUAAGAUAUGAUUAACAUCUUCUGGCCUUUGAGAAUUUUCACAUGACAUAUGGCUAUGCAUUUGUCUAAGAAUUUCAUGGACUUAUUUUCGUAAUUCUUGGAAUUAGAAUUACAUCAUACAUUAACAUUAAUUAAUGGAGAGAAGGUUUUCCAAAAGAACUGAGGCUAUCUCCAUAUCUUCAUGUCAUAAACAGAGAUGACACACCUACAUUUUACAAUUAUUAUUAUGUGCAUCAUUUUAGUGUAGUGAACUCACCCAUAUUUAGUCCUUAUGUCACAUAGAAAAUAAAAAAAUGAUAUUAAAGGAUUGUGCAAUAGAACCUCUAGUCAAUAAUUUUUGACAAAAGUCGAAUAAAAUCUUUUAAAAUCUUAUGUACUUAUUUUUUAACAGGACAAAAUCAAAUUAAAUUUUGCAUGUAUUGAGACUC